AGAUUGUGCAUAGUAGGAAGAAAGUUACAAGUAUUUUAAGCAGUACUUUAGCUAUGUGGCUUGGGAAAAACUAUCUAUGAUCAAAGCUGUCAAAAGAUAACUCCUAAUUGAAAUUUGUAUCUAGUGAUCAACUAAUUUAGUCUUUUUGCUUUGAAGUUGAAGCCGGAAAACCCUCCGUAUUAUGUACUUGAGAAAUGAUGACAUCUAAUGCAUUGACUUGUUUCUUGACUGAUCUUUCCUCAAAUUUAAUUAUGUUACUGUUCCUGUUCAUGUUUUAGUAUUGUGGGGAAUAUAUACGAUUAAAAGUUGAAUCUUUUAUUUUAAUUUUCUGCUCGGAAAUGUUCUGAGUCGUCCCUGAAUUUGUCUUAGGUAGUGAGUGAGUUGGACAGGAAGAAAUGCCCAAUUUGUAAUCCAUUU
rnacentral:misc_RNA from 1 species